UGGGGAAUAUUGCGCAAUGGGGGCAACCCUGACGCAGCCAUGCCGCGUGAAUGAAGAAGGCCUUCGGGUUGUAAAGUUCUUUCGGUGACGAGGAAGGCGUGAUGUUUAAUAGGCAUCACGAUUGACGUUAAUCACAGAAGAAGCACCGGCUAACUCCGUGCCAGCAGCCGCGGUAAUACGGAGGGUGCGAGCGUUAAUCGGAAUAACUGGGCGUAAAGGGCACGCAGGCGGCUAUUUAAGUGAGGUGUGAAAUCCCCGGGCUUAACCUGGGAAUUGCAUUUCAGACUGGGUAGCUAGAGUACUUUAGGGAGGGGUAGAAUUCCACGCGUAGCGGUGAAAUGCGUAGAGAUGUGGAGGAAUACCGAAGGCGAAGGCAGCCCCUUGGGAAUGUACUGACGCUCAUGUGCGAAAGCGUGGGGAGCAAACAGGAUUAGAUACCCUGGUAGUCCACGCUGUAAACGCUGUCGAUUUGGGGAUUGGGCCUUGAGCUUGGUGCCCGAAGCUAACGUGAUAAAUCGACCGCCUGGGGAGUACGGCCGCAAGGUUA
rnacentral:rRNA from 1 species